UUCAUUUUCAUCAUAAUGGAAGAGGAUUUCCCGCCAUUGAUAAAAUUUCUGGGGUCUUCUGCAAGUAAAAAUGGAGUUGGAAUUUUGAGUUUUUAAUUAAAAUGAGUGAGUGGGCUCAACCCUUCUAUCUUCUGCUCUGUGUCACCAAGUUUGAACUUUAUCGAGUAACUCGAGACCACACAAUGCAAAUGUUAGAUUGGAAAUGGCUAGAUACUGUUUUCUAUGUGCAGCUUUAAACCCACUACAAGCAAAAAUGGCAGCCAGAAUCAGGACAUGUUUGGUGAAUUUGAGUUCAAGGAACAGGUUGGUACAGACUCUUCUAAUGUUGAAAAUGGAAGAGAAAUUAUUGAAUUCAAGGAUGAAAAGAAGAGUCAAAACAGUGAAGAUGAGAAUACUGUUGGUUUAGAAAGACCAAGGUUGGUGAUUUUGUGCUUGUCGAGGAUGAGACGGAAACGAAAAAUGAUUUCAAAAUGGUUGGACUAGAAACAUCGGUGGUAUACUGAGUUGUAACUCCAGGACGGCAAGACAUCGGAAAGGUGCAGGGAUACACUUUCAACAUUAAUUCAGAGGCUGUGGAAUCACUUGAGCUUGAUUCAUUUGGGAUAUCAAUUAUCCAUCAAGUUUGGUAGGUUGUUAGUUCCUACUUUCUUUAAUUGAGAAGAAAUACCUUCAUACAAUAUGAUGCAUGAUUAGGGGUUGCAAAGAAGCCGAGCUGCUUGCGAGUGGUUUACAGCUUCUAGCCUUGUAUAUACAAAGGCUUUUAAAGGUAACUUGAUAGUUACCUGUAGUCGUGAUAGUUACACAUCCUCACCCGUUUAGUAUCCAAGGGUAUUUGGGACCAUCAGAAUCCAGGAACUUUGAUAGAUAAACUUGGAGAAUAUGCAGACUUUGAAAGGCCUGGUAAAUUUGAUGAUGAUUGUGGCACGCUGAGAGGAAGAAAUCCAAUCCAAAAAUGGGAGAAACAGAGGAGAAUUGGGAGCUUCCAAUGGAUUACUUAUGACCCUCCUACCACUCCACAUCAGAGCGUUUCACACUUCAUCCUUUCCCUGCAGAUAUGUGCUUCCCUCUUGCUGUCGUGUCUUCAACCUGCGACCUUCGCCUUAUUAGCACGACACUCUAACCAAUUGAGCUAAUAGGCAAUGCCUUUAUUGUAUCUAAAGUUUAAUAUGAAUAAUAUUCAGUCGCAGUCCCACACCAUUGUAUGCCAGUAGUGGGUUGUAUUGGCAGUUGAAGUGCGCCAAACUUGAUUUCUAAUAAAUCAGAAAGGUUUGUUCUUGAGGAUGCAGGUACUUCUUGCAUGAUAUGGCUAGAAAAGGUUGAAGCUUUAUACUCAUUUGACUGAAACUCUUGGUUUAGUUUGAGAAUGAACUUUUUUUCUAUUAAAGGACCAAUUUUUUUUUUCAAUUGAAGAAAUUGAACUUUCAGAUUUUCUUAUAGAAGGGACCAAAUUUUUAGUAUUUUCGAUUGAAUAUUGCCAAUAAACACAAUUAAAAUCAUUUGUUUUAUUUUGGAAGAAAGGUGAUUAGUCUGGUAUUUUUAAUAAGUAAUAAUGAAAGUUUAGUCUCUUCAAUAAAAAAAACUGAAAGUUGGUACCUUCAACAGGAAAAUUUCAAAGUUCAAUCCCUUCAGUAGAGCAAAUAAAGUUUGUGAUGGAUACCUGGGCCGAUAGCUGACUGCAGAACCUUCUCUGGGCUACCUCUUCUGCACUCCCCACAAUCUCCAGCAAACCAUUCACAACAGCAGCAAGGGCAUGCAAAGCAAUGUAAUAGAAAAAGAAAUGUAACACAAUCAAAGUAGAUGAUGAAAAUAUGUAUUGUAUUGAAUAAUUCUUAGUGAAGUUUACAAAAUCAAUUCUUCAAUACAAUGACUAUUUUCAAUGGCUAUGUUUGAUUACAAGUGCUAGCCAAAUUACAAUUCCAGUAACAGAUUAGUCACAGAAAGAAAUCCACAAAACUCAGUUGAGCCUCCACUGUACAUGCUCAGCUGCCGAGAGAACCACUCUCUCCCAACAUUCCUUUAGUUGUUGCACCUUCCUCUCUUCUGUAGCACCUGCUCCCUUUUUCAACUUUUUCCACAGCUACUUCUUUUUCUUUUUCCUUUGUUUUGCCAUGUCUCCCUAUUUUUUGCGGUUGAUUUUGCAUUAGAGCAAUGGUCUCUUGGUCCCUUUUCCAAGAGCUAAAAGUCUUCUCUUUUUUACUUCCUCUUUUCCUGCAGGAAAUGUAUAUACGAAUUCUAACAGUUUGAUUUCUCCAAGUGUUGUUAACACUAUUUCAUGUUUAGCUUCAAUUUUUAUUAUCAUAUGGAUUGUGCAAUCUAGGUGUGGGGAUGCACUGUCAACAUUAUUUCAGGGGCUGUGGAAUUGCUUGAACUGGAUUCGUUUUGGAUAUCAAUCAUUCCAUGAAGUUAGGUCAGUACUUAUGCUUUGCUUGUAGAAGAUGUGCUCAUAGUUGUAUCUGACAAAGUUUUUGUUCAUGGGGUUGCUGCAUUGCAUAUAUUAAAACAAAGGGUUUUUGGGACCAUCAGAAUCCAGGAACUUUGAUAGAUGAACCUGGAGAAUAUGUGGACUUUGAAUGGCCUACUAAAUUUGAUGAUGAUCGUGGCACAGUGAGAGGUUUUCGCAAGAAGAAAUCAAAUCCAAACAUGAGAGAAACAGAGAAGGUUUAGGAGCUUCCAAUGGAUUACUUAUGACCCUUCUACCACUCCAAAUCAGAGUUACACCCUCUUGCUGAGUGUCUCGAACCUGCGACCUUCGCGUUAUUAGCACGACGCUCUAACCAACUGAGCUAAUAGGCCAUAUGCUUGGCAAUAAUUUCCAGUCUCAAAUUAUCACUAUCUGCAUUUUUAGUUUUGUUUGUAGUGGGUUGUACUGGUAAUUGAAGAGAGGCCAAACUUGCUUUCUAGUCAAUCAGAAAGGUUUCCUCUUGAGGAUGUUAGCCAGGUACUUCUUUUACCUGUGAAUGAUAUUGCUAGCAAAGGUUGAAGCUUUAUACACAUUUGACAGAAACUCCUCGUCUAGUUUGAGACUAGUUUUAGUUUAUGUUUUAUUAAUUUUAUUGGAUAAUUACAGCAACUACUUUUGUGGAAA